rnacentral:tRNA from 1 species
CCUGGUGGCUCAGACGGUAAAGCGUCUGUCUACAAUGCAGGAGACCCAGGUUCAAUCCCUGGGUCAGGA